rnacentral:rRNA from 1 species
GACGAACGCUGGCGGCGUGCUUAACACAUGCAAGUCGAACGGAAAGGCCCUGCUUUUGUGGGGUGCUCGAGUGGCGAACGGGUGAGUAACACGUGAGUAACCUGCCCUUGACUUUGGGAUAACUUCAGGAAACUGGGGCUAAUAUCGGAUAGGAGCUCCUGCUGCAUGGUGGGGGUUGGAAAGUUUCGGCGGUUGGGGAUGGACUCGCGGCUUAUCAGCUUGUUGGUGGGGUAGUGGCUUACCAAGGCUUUGACGGGUAGCCGGCCUGAGAGGGUGACCGGCCACAUUGGGACUGAGAUACGGCCCAGACUCCUACGGGAGGCAGCAGUGGGGAAUAUUGCACAAUGGGCGGAAGCCUGAUGCAGCAACGCCGCGUGCGGGAUGACGGCCUUCGGGUUGUAAACCGCUUUCGCCUGUGACGAAGCGCGAGUGACGGUAAUGGGUAAAGAAGCACCGGCUAACUACGUG